rnacentral:miRNA from 1 species
AGGCAGUGCACUGUUAGCUGGCUGCU